rnacentral:tRNA from 1 species
GGGCGUAGCGCAGCCUGGUUAGCGCGCCUGGUUCGGGACCAGGAGGUCGCUGGUUCAAAUCCAGUCNNAGCGCA